UUUUAGACUCCCAAGUCGUUGUAGUCUCAAUCUCUAGUGGCUGCGUUACUGCAGGAAGUCACGGAAGCCUCUCCCCUUUCUUAGGCGCAUCCUUGGCUGUAAAAGGAGGUUAAAAGCCCCUGGAAAACCUCAGGUUUAUUUCAGCUCUGAAAGUCCGGUUCCAAAUUUAGAUCCAGCACUCUUGUGGCCUGGCCAGUGAUGGUCGUGGAGUGCUUUCCCCGCGCCUGCGGUCUCUAGGCUCUGUGGAUGUAGAGGUGUGGGAUGUAGGAGCAGGCCCUUACCCGUGGAAUUCACAUAUAAAUGGGGGAAUGAGACAGCAAACAAACAAACGUGAUCCUUCCUGAUAGUGGUAAAUGUGGGAUGCCGAGGUUUAAGCAGACGAGUGGUAUUAAGGGAUUUCAAGGUUUUAUAAAAUUGAUUUUGCCAAGAGUGGAAGCUGAGAGGCUACUGCAGUAAGAAGUCCAGGGGAACUAAGAAUUUGGCUUGGACCAGAGUGGUAGCUGUGGGCAUGGAAAGUACUGAAAGGAUUUAGCC
rnacentral:lncRNA from 1 species